rnacentral:rRNA from 1 species
GGGUGCGAUCAUACCAGCACUAAUGCACUGGAUCCCAUCAGAACUCCGAAGUUAAGUAUGCUUGGGCGAGAGUAGUACUAG